AACGUAGGACGCAAGCGUUAUCCGGAGUUACUGGGCGUAAAGCGCGGGCAGGCGGCCUGAAAAGUCUGAUGUGAAAGCGCCCGGCUCAACCGGGCGAGGCCAUUGGAAACUUUCGGGCUGGAGGGCAGUAGAGGCAGGCGGAAUUCCGGGUGGAGUGGUGAAAUGCGUAGAGAUCCGGAGGAACACCAGAGGCGAAGGCGGCCUGCUGGGCUGCACCUGACGCUGAGCCGCGAAAGCCAGGGGAGCGAACGGG
rnacentral:rRNA from 1 species